rnacentral:rRNA from 1 species
UACGAAGGGGCUAGCGUUGUUCGGAAUUACUGGGCGUAAAGCGUGCGCAGGCGGCCAUCCAAGUCAGGGGUGAAAUCCUGGAGCUCAACUCCAGAACUGCCUUUGAUACUGAAGAUCUUGAGUUCGGGGAGAGGUGAGUGGAACUGCGAGUGUAGAGGUGAAAUUCGUAGAUAUUGCAAGAACACCAGUGGCGAAGGCGGCUCACUGCCCGAUACUGACGCUGAGGCACGAAAGCGUGGGGAGCAACAGGAUU